rnacentral:rRNA from 1 species
UGCCAGCCGCCGCGGUAAUACAAAAAGUGCAAGCGUUGUUCGGAAUUAUUGGGCGUAAAGCACGUAUAAACGGUUCGUUAAGUCUGAUGUGAAAGCCCGGGGCUCAACCCCGGAAGUGCAUUGGAAACUGGCGAACUUGAGUACGGGAGAGGAAAAUGGAAUUCCGAGUGUAGGGGUGAAAUCCGUAGAUAUUCGGAGGAACACCAGUGGCGAAGGCGGCUUUCUGGACCAAUACUGACGCUGAGAUGCGAAAGCGUGGGGAGCGAACAGGAUUAGAUA